ACCGGCAGCUCAAGUGGUGGCCAUUAUUAUUGGGCCUAAAGCGUUCGUAGCCGGUUUGAUAAGUCUCUGGUGAAAUCCCGCAGCUUAACUGUGGGACUUGCUGGAGAUACUAUCAGACUUGAGGUCGGGAGAGGUUAGGGGUACUCCCAGGGUAGGGUGGAAAUGCUAAAAACUCGGGAGGAAUACCGAAGGCGAAGGCACCAAACAGAGUCGAAAUUGACGCUGAACUGCGAAAGCGUGGGUCUCGAACAG
rnacentral:rRNA from 1 species